rnacentral:rRNA from 1 species
AGGACGAACGCUGGCGGCGUGCCUAAUACAUGCAAGUCGAGCGGACAGAAGGGAGCUUGCUCCCGGAUGUUAGCGGCGGACGGGUGAGUAACACGUGGGUAACCUGCCUGUAAGACUGGGAUAACUCCGGGAAACCGGAGCUAAUACCGGAUAGUUCCUUGAACCGCAUGGUUCAAGGAUGAAAGACGGUUUCGGCUGUCACUUACAGAUGGACCCGCGGCGCAUUAGCUAGUUGGUGGGGUAAUGGCUCACCAAGGCGACGAUGCGUAGCCGACCUGAGAGGGUGAUCGGCCACACUGGGACUGAGACACGGCCCAGACUCCUACGGGAGGCAGCAGUAGGGAAUCUUCCGCAAUGGACGAAAGUCUGACGGAGCAACGCCGCGUGAGUGAUGAAGGUUUUCGGAUCGUAAAGCUCUGUUGUUAGGGAAGAACAAGUGCGAGAGUAACUGCUCGCACCUUGACGGUACCUAACCAGAAAGCCACGGCUAACUACGUGCCAGCAGCCGCGGUAAUACGUAGGUGGCAAGCGUUGUCCGGAAUUAUUGGGCGUAAAGGGCUCGCAGGCGGUUUCUUAAGUCUGAUGUGAAAGCCCCCGGCUCAACCGGGGAGGGUCUAUUGGAAACUGGGAAACUUGAGUGCAGAAGAGGAGAGUGGAAAUUCCACGUGUAGCGGUGAAAAUGCGUAGAGAAUGUGGGAGGAACACCAGUGGCGAAGGCGACUCUCUGGUCUGUAACUGACGCUGAGGAGCGAAAGCGUGGGGAGCGAACAGGAUUAGAUACCCUGGUAGUCCACGCCGUAAACGAUGAGUGCUAAGUGUUAGGGGGUUUCCGCCCCUUAGUGCUGCAGCUAACGCAUUAAGCACUCCGCCUGGGGAGUACGGUCGCAAGACUGAAACUCAAAGGAAUUGACGGGGGCCCGCACAAGCGGUGGAGCAUGUGGUUUAAUUCGAAGCAACGCGAAGAACCUUACCAGGUCUUGACAUCCUCUGACAACCCUAGAGAUAGGGCUUUCCCUUCGGGGACAGAGUGACAGGUGGUGCAUGGUUGUCGUCAGCUCGUGUCGUGAGAUGUUGGGUUAAGUCCCGCAACGAGCGCAACCCUUGAUCUUAGUUGCCAGCAUUUAGUUGGGCACUCUAAGGUGACUGCCGGUGACAAACCGGAGGAAGGUGGGGAUGACGUCCAAUCAUCAUGCCCCUUAUGACCUGGGCUACACACGUGCUACAAUGGACAGAACAAAGGGCUGCGAGACCGCAAGGUUUAGCCAAUCCCAUAAAUCUGUUCUCAGUUCGGAUCGCAGUCUGCAACUCGACUGCGUGAAGCUGGAAUCGCUAGUAAUCGCGGAUCA